AGCAGCCGCGGUAAUUCCAGCUCCAAUAGCGUAUAUUAAAGUUGUUGCAGUUAAAAAGCUCGUAGUUGAAUUUCGGGGUUAGUAGGUUGGUCAUGCCUCUGGUAUGUACUGGUCUCACUGAUUCCUCCUUCCUGAUGAACCUUAAUGCCAUUAAUUUGGUGUUUUGGGGAAUUUGGACUGUUACUUUGAAAAAUUAGAGUGUUUAAAGCAAGCUAACGCUUGAAUACAUUAGCAUGGAAUAAUGAAAUAGGACGUUCGAUCCUAUUUUGUUGGUUUCUAGGAUUGACGUAAUGAUUAAUAGGGAUAGUUGGGGGCAUUAGUAUUCAAUUGUCAGAGGUGAAAUUCUUGGAUUUAUUGAAGACUAACUACUGCGAAAAGCAUUUGCCAAGGAUGUUUUCAUUAAUCAAGAACGAAAGUUAGGGGAUCGAAGACGAUCAGAUACCGUCGUAGUCUUAACCAUAAACUAUGCCGACUAGGGAUCGGAUGAUGUUAAUUUUUAUGUACUCAUUCGGCGUCCUUA
rnacentral:misc_RNA from 1 species